GGGCCCGCACAAGCAGCGGAGCAUGUGGUUUAAUUCGAAGCAACGCGAAGAACCUUACCAGGGCUUGACAUCUGAGUAAACUCAUGGAAACAUGAGGUGCCUUCGGGCGACUCAAGACAGGUGGUGCAUGGUUGUCGUCAGCUCGUGUCGUGAGAUGUUGGGUUAAGUCCCGCAACGAGCGCAACCCUUAUUGCUAGUUACUAACGCGUUAUGGUGAGGACUCUAGUAAGACUGCCGGGGACAACUCGGAGGAAGGUGGGGACGACGUCAAAUCAUCAUGCCCCUUAUGUUCUGGGCUACACACGUGCUACAAUGGCCGCAACAGAGAGGAGCGAAGCCGCAAGGUGGAGCGGAUCUCAAAAAAGCGGUCUCAGUUCGGAUCGUGGGCUGCAACCCGCCCACGUGAAGUCGGAGUUGCUAGUAAUCGCGGAUCAGCAUGCCG
rnacentral:rRNA from 1 species